rfam:Bacillus coagulans 36D1, complete genome.
GGGGACGUUACGGAUUCGACAGGGAUAGAUCGAGCUCAAGUUGCGAGCCGGGGGGUCGUCCCCGUAACAACGCAACGCCUAAAAAUAACUGGCAAAUCUAACACUAAACUCGCUUUAGCUGCCUAAUAAGCGCUAAGCGGAUCCUCCCUCCAUCGCCCACGUGGUAGGGUAAGGGUCUCAACUUCAGUGGGAUACGCCGGCUGUCCUCCGCCUGGGGACGAAGGAAGAGACCAAUCAGGCUAGCGCACCGGACGCCCGCCGAUAGGCAGAUGGCUGCGCGAAAUGCGAAUAUAUCGGCUACGCUCGUAGACGCUUGAGUGGCGAUAUUUCUGGACGUGGGUUCGACUCCCACCGUCUCCAUUU